rnacentral:rRNA from 1 species
GACGAACGCUGGCGGCGUGCUUAACACAUGCAAGUCGAACGAUGAACCAGGGCUUGCCCUGGGGAUUAGUGGCGAACGGGUGAGUAACACGUGGGCAACCUGCCCCAGACACCGGGAUAACCUCUCGAAAGAGUGGCUAAUACCGGAUACGACCACUUUGGGCAUCCAACGGUGGUGGAAAGGAUUCUGGUCUGGGAUGGGCCCGCGGCCUAUCAGCUUGUUGGUGGGGUAAUGGCCUACCAAGGCGACGACGGGUAGCCGGCCUGAGAGGGCGACCGGCCACACUGGGACUGAGACACGGCCCAGACUCCUACGGGAGGCAGCAGUGGGGAAUAUUGCGCAAUGGGCGAAAGCCUGACGCAGCGACGCCGCGUGAGGGACGAAGGUCUUCGGAUUGUAAACCUCUUUCAGCAGGGACGAAGCGAAAGUGACUGUACCUGCAGAAGAAGCACCGGCUAACUACGUGCCAGCAGCCGCCGUAA